rnacentral:rRNA from 1 species
AUUGAACGCUGGCGGCAGGCCUAACACAUGCAAGUCGAGCGGAUGAAGGGAGCUUGCUCCUGGAUUCAGCGGCGGACGGGUGAGUAAUGCCUAGGAAUCUGCCUGGUAGUGGGGGAUAACGUCCGGAAACGGGCGCUAAUACCGCAUACGUCCUGAGGGAGAAAGUGGGGGAUCUUCGGACCUCACGCUAUCAGAUGAGCCUAGGUGGGAUUAGCUAGUUGGUGGGGUAAAGGCCUACCAAGGCGACGAUCCGUAACUGGUCUGAGAGGAUGAUCAGUCACACUGGAACUGAGACACGGUCCAGACUACUACGGGAGGCAGCAGUGGGGAAUAUUGGACAAUGGGCGAAAGCCUGAUCCAGCCAUGCCGCGUGUGUGAAGAAGGUCUUCGGAUUGUAAAGCACUUUAAGUUGGGAGGAAGGGCAGUAAGUUAAUACCUUGCUGUUUUGACGUUACCAACAGAAUAAGCACCGGCUAACUUCGUG